rnacentral:rRNA from 1 species
UACGUAGGGUGCGAGCGUUAAUCGGAAUUACUGGGCGUAAAGCGUGCGCAGGCGGUUCGUUAAGUCAGAUGUGAAAGCCCCGGGCUCAACCUGGGAACUGCAUUUGAAACUGGCGGGCUUGAGUGCGGCAGAGAGGGGUGGAAUUCCGCGUGUAGCAGUGAAAUGCGUAGAGAUGCGGAGGAACACCGAUGGCGAAGGCAGCCCCCUGGGCCGACACUGACGCUCAGGCACGAAAGCGUGGGGAGCAAACAGG